GUGAGGAAUAUUGCGCAAUGGAGGCAACUCUGACGCAGCCAUGCCGCGUGCAGGAAGAAGGCGCUACGCGUUGUAAACUGCUUUUAACCGGGAAGAAACCCCAGGACGUGUCCUGGGUUGACGGUACCGGAGGAAUAAGCACCGGCUAACUUCGUGCCAGCAGCCGCGGCAAUACGAAGGGUGCAAGCGUUAUCCGGAUUCAUUGGGUUUAAAGGGUGCGUAGGCGGAGCGUUAAGUCAGUGGUGAAAUCUUGCAGCUUAACUGUAGACUUGCCAUUGAUACUGGCGCUCUUGAGUGCGCUUGAAGUGGGCGGAAUGUGCCGUGUAGCGGUGAAAUGCUUAGAUAUGGCACAGAACACCAAUUGCGAAGGCAGCUCACUAAGGCGAUACUGACGCUGAGGCACGAAAGCGUGGGGAUCGAACAGGAUUAGAUACCCGUGUAGUCC
rnacentral:rRNA from 1 species